GAACGCAUAGUUAACCACAAAGCCGUCGUUGCUUUCCUCCCCGGGAGAUCAUAUUGUGUCCAGGGAAAGCUUUCCAAGCCAUUAUGAUAUAUUGACAAAUUGAAUAUUCGAAGAUAUUACAUAGAGUUUGUUGAGAUUACAGCUUCGAACAAGUACAUUGGAUCACCCU